UACAGAGGUCUAAAGCGUUGUUCGGAUUCAUUGGGCGUAAAGGGUGCGUAGGCGGCGCGGUAAGUCGGGUGUGAAAUCUCGGAGCUUAACUUCGAGCCUGCGUUCGAUACUGGGUAGCUAGAGUCUGGUAGGGGGAUCUGGAAUUCCUGGUGUAGCGGUGGAAUGCGCAGAUAUCAGGAGGAACACCGGUGGCGAAGGCGGGAUCCUGGGCCAUUCCUGACGCUGAGGAGCGAAAGCGUGGGGAGCAAACAGG
rnacentral:rRNA from 1 species